rnacentral:rRNA from 1 species
CACGCCGUAAACGAUGGAUACUAGCUGUACGGACUUCGGUCUGUGUGGCUAAGCGAAAGUGAUAAGUAUCCCACCUGGGGAGUACGUUCGCAAGAAUGAAACUCAAAGGAAUUGACGGGGCCCGCACAAGCGGUGGAGCAUGUGGUUUAAUUCGAUGAUACGCGAGGAACCUUACCAGGGCUUAAAUGUGGUCUGACAGCUUUAGAGAUAGAGUUUCCUUCGGGCAGAUCACAAG